rnacentral:lncRNA from 1 species
GAUGAACCCCAAAUAACAGAAGAAACCCCCAAGGUAUGAACAUGCAACACGCACACACUGAACAAACGAAUACUCACACCAAAGAAAACAAGCAAAGGGUGAACAAACAGAGACUCAAAAAAAAGAAAAGGGUGAACACACAGAGACUCAAAAAAAGAAAAGGGUGAACACACAGAGACUCAAAAAAAGAAAAGGGUGAACAAACACACGAAAAUAAAACAGCAAAAAAG